UUAUUGAUGUUCAGUAUGUGCGUACCUAGGCCUAUUUGGAUGUGAAAUUUUGAAAUUGUGUGUGUAGAACUUACUGUUAAAAUAACAUAAAAGCUGGGUUCGCACCGCCGAUCAGAUCAACUCGAUCAAGCCCGACCAAGCGGUCGGGUACUGGUCUGGUUUGGUCGGCAUGAGUGGUCGGGUGCGGUCGGGUAGGUCGGCAUUGGUUGGGCUUCCUACCCGAUAUUUUUUGACAUGUCAAAAAAAUAUCGAGAAGCGGUCGAGUAGAAAAUGGAUCGAGAAGCGCUCGGGAAGUGGUCGUGUAUUAGUCGAGUAGAAGAUCGAGUUGAUCGUGAAGCAAUCGUGUGGCGAUCGGAUUGGCAUCUUUUAUAAGACAAAACUGUUAAUUACAUAUUCAGAAUGCAUUAUUGUAAUAUUCAUUCGUUUUUUAGUACCAAAGCGCGUUUCUCUUGCUUUAUUAUUUUUAGUAAUUGCAUAUUUUUACAGUUUUACUGCAUUUAUAAACUGUUUCAUUUUUUGAGUAUUUACAAAAUAAAAUUUAACAAUUAGUUGUGAUGUUAAAUCAGUUCUUAUAUGCAAGUGUCUAUUUCACUUUUAAAUUAUAACAGCAUAAUUAUUAUACAUUAUUGAAAGAUUAUUCUUAGAUUGAUGUCAUAUCCAACUUUGCAUUGUGUAGUUAAAUAACAUUUUAUUGAACUGUAUGGGAAGCUAUAUUGAUUAAGUUAUGAAUGUUGUAUUAUACAACAUGCAUUAUUUCUACCACAAGUAUAACAUAUAAGGCCUAUUGCUACUAAUAAGGCACUGUAUAAAUUUGAUACUGUUUUUGAUGCACUUAAAAAACUUGAAUU